rnacentral:rRNA from 1 species
UACGUAGGGACCGAGCGUUGUCCGGAAUCAUUGGGCGUAAAGAGCGUGUAGGCGGCUAUUUAAGUCCUGCGUGAAAUCCUGCGGCUCAACCGCAGACGGUCGUGGGAAACUGGAUGGCUAGAGUGCGGGAGAGGAGAGUGGAAUUCCCGGUGUAGCGGUGAAAUGCGCGGAUAUCGGGAAGAACACCCGUGGCGAAGGCGGCUCUCUGGAACGCAACUGACGCUGAGACGCGAAAGCGUGGGGAGCAAACAGG